GACCCUCUUGAUAGGAACUGCGUCUGUUUCUUUUGUUUUGUUUUCUUUCUUUUUCUAAUUUCAUUUUCUUUUUUAUGGAGAUAGUGGAAUGGCGAUUUUGUUAAUUUUUGUAAUUUUUUUAUCCCAUCAUGGUUUUGCUGGUGUUGAUGUUGUCACAUUAUCAGUGAAUGAGGGAGAAUCAGUCACACUACGCACUGAUGUGGAAACAAACCAACAAGAAGAUAUUAAGUGGUAUUUUAAUGACAUUCGAAUAGCUGAAAUCAGUGGCGAUCUCAGUGAUUACUGUACAGAUGUUGAGUGUAAUGGAGGUACUGAGAGAUUCAGAUACAGACUGAAGCUGGAUCAUCAGACUGGAUCUCUGACCAUCAUGAACAUCACAAACACAGACUCUGGAGAAUAUGAGCUAAAGAUCAUCAGAAGCAGCAGUAUCAGUGAAAAGACCUUCAAUGUUGUUGUUCAUGGUGUUUCUGCUGCAGAACGAGAUGAAAAGUCAGUGAAGGAGGGAGAAUCUGUCUCUUUACAUCCUGAUGUAGCAAGGCAACCAAAUGAGGUGAUGAGAUGGUAUUAUAAGGACAUUCGCAUCGCUGAAAUCACUGGAGAUCAGAGUAACAGUAUCUGUUCAGAUGUUCAGUGUAAAGAGAGAUUCGGAGACAGACUGAAGCUGGAUCAGACUGGAUCUCUGACCAUCAUGAACACCAGAACCACAGACUCUGGAGAAUAUAAACUGGAGAUCAGCAGAAAGGGUCGUCUUAUCAACAGUGCUUUCAUUGAGAAGAGCUUUGGUGUUAACGUUGCUGUUAAUGUUCCAGAUUCAGGUCGGUCUUCAGCUGCUGCUGCUGCUGCAGCAGGAAUAGCUGUUGCUGUCAUUCUGCUUUUAGCUGUGUGUGCUGCGGUUGUGACUUACUAACACAAACAUCAAGAGAGAAGAGAAGACAUCCGGAUGCAGAACAUUGGUCCGGUAAAUGAUGCUCCAGUGAAUCAAGAGUCAUUACUGUAGGAGACUGCGACAUACUGUUGAACACUACUGAUGGGACAUCCUUAAAUCAGACUGAAGCUGAUUAGCAUUACAUCAUUUAUUACACUAACACUGAAGAGGCAGUGGAAAAUCGAGAAAAAGAGAAAAGCAUCAGUCAAAACCAGUGGUGGACCUAGUGGUUAGAGAGUCGGACUCCUAAUCGAAAGGUUGUGAGUUCGAGUCUCGGGCCGGCA